CUCUCUCUCUUUGCCUAUGAAUGGAGAAUACAACAAAUAAUAUAAAGUGAUGGACAUUUCUAUGCUUUGCUUCUCUUCUCCAAAGAGAAAUAGAUGAAAAAGAUUGUUGAUUUUCGUUUCUCUCGAAGAAGAAGAAAGAAGAAGAAGAUUGUGUAUGUGUGGCGUUUGAUGUCUCGUGUUGGAGAGGUGGUCUCGUUUAGAGUGUUAGUGUUUAGUUCUGUUCUUCUGUUGAUCUGUGUUUUUUUUAAAUGUAAAUUACACAAGUAUGCAAAACAAAUCUCUUCUCAGAAAGGGGCUACUGUUAUAUCAUGAGAUUUAUAAGACAAAAUGUAAAAUAUCGGAAAAAUAAAACAACAUAAUUUUGGUGUUGAAUGAGUUUUUCUUGUCCACACAACGGCAGAAGCAGUAGACGAUUGUUCCUUUGUCUCUUGAUC